ensembl:lncRNA
CCUACUGCCAUGUACCUACUUCUACCUACUGCCAUGUACCUACUUCUACCUACUGCCAUGUGCGCAUUGCUGCGCUAAUGUGACAAAAUAACCUAAUAGUUUAUCAACAUUUAAGCUAAAAGUUCUGAUCUGUUGCAUCAGCCUCAUUGCUUUUAAAAGGUGUUUUGAUGCUAGUGGUUGUAUAUAUUUGGGAUCUAUCACAUCCCACCAUUGUCCCAGACUAUGUUUGGAAUAUUUAUUUAUCGCACAGAAUAGGUCAACUUUUGUACUAUGGGGGAUAGUAGAUUGACAUAGGCUAGUGUUUUUGCUGUUCAUUAGGACUACUCAUCUUGUUGGCUGAUGAAAAGUACGUGUUAUUCCAACAUAUUCAAUAUGCACCUCGGAAUUGGAUAAGGAUGUGGGCAGUGGUGUCCCCGAUGUGUCCGUCUUCACUUGUAGCCUGAGAAGGAAACAAUCACGUGACGGGCAUUGGUUAAUAAGAACUGAGAUAUCUGAGAGAACAAUGUGAGUGAGAGGUGCUUCGGAGCAAGGCAGCCCAAGAGAAAGGAAUUAUAAUUAUUAUAUUCAGCCCAAGGGCACAACGACCACUGGCUGCAAAACACAUGGAUUAUUUAGGAGGCAUUACCGCCACACAAAGGGGAUUCCGCCGGGAAAUUAAGAGGCAUUAUCAACCGCUUGUCAAAUUGUGAAUGAGAGACUGAUGAAGUGUGUUCAGACUGAGCAACAAAACAAAGCAGAGCUCAGGCCUUUCAAGCGACUUUUUUUCAAAUAAUCAUUAGAGUCUCAUCAUUCAGCCUUACAAUGUAUUAAACACCAAAACAUACAGGCCAACGUUUGUAGAACAGCUAAAGUUACAUUAAUAAUUAAUAAUAGGAGUACUGAUGUCUUUGUUAACCGCUCAACACAGAAUAUCUGCAUGUGCAACACUUCCUCCAAUCGUUUGGAGAAAAUGUCCUCUCUAUUUCAUUCAGAUUUGUUCAAUUAUAUUGUAAAAUAAUAAUUAAAUAAUGCCACGGAAUUCUAAGCAAAUCUUGUCUGCUAAAUGAACUAGUGUAGCCCACAGCCAUAUGGCACAGCCAGAUCAGGGCCUAACAUAAGGACAACUCAGAGGAUGCUAUUCUGUUCUUCUGAAAUAGACUACAUUUUCUUCAUAUCAUGUUUCUUUAGACCCGUCUAAAAUAAAUAAUGGAUUUAUUGUGAAGGUGUAGACUAUAUUACAUGGAUUUAUUGUGGAGGUGUAGACUAUAUUACAUGGAUUUAUUGUGAAGGUGGAGGCUAUAUUACAUGGAUUUAUUGUGAUGGUGUAGGCUAUAUUACAUGGAUUUAUUGUGAAGGUGGAGGCUAUAUUACAUGGAUUUAUUGUGAUGGUGUAGGCUAUAUUACAUGGAUUUAUUGUGAUGGUGUAGGUAGACUAUAUUACAUGGAUUUAUCGUGACGGUGUAGGUCGACUAUAUUACAUGGAUUUAUUGUGAUGGUGUAGGCUAUAUUACAUGGAUUUAUUGUGAUGGUGUAGACUAUAUUAAAUGGAUUUAUUGUGACGGUGUAGGUAGACUAUAUUACAUGGAUUUAUUGUGGAGGUGUAGACUAUAUUACAUGGGUUUAUUGUGGAGGUGUAGACUAUAUUACAUGGAUUUAUUGUGAUGGUGUAGGUAGACUAUAUUACAUGGAUUUAUUGUGGAGGUGUAGACUAUAUUACAUGGAUUUAUUGUGACGGUGUAGGUAGACUAUAUUACAUGGAUUUAUUGUGACGGUGUAGGUAGAUUAUAUUACAUGGAUCUAUUGUCGAGGUGUAGACUAUAUUACAUGGAUUUAUUGUGACGGUGUAGGUAGACUAUAUUACAUGGAUUUAUUGUGGGGGUGUAGACUAUAUUACAUGGAUUUAUUGUGGAGGUGUAGACUAUAUUACAUGAAUUUAUUGUGACGGUGUAGGUAGACUAUAUUACAUGGAUUUAUUGUGGAGGUGUAGACUAUAUUACAUGGAUUUAUUGUGACGGUGUAGGUAGACUAUAUUACAUGGAUUUAUUGUGAUGGUGUAGGCUAUAUUACAUGGAUUUAUUGUGAUGGUGUAGGCUAUAUUACAUGGAUUUAUUGUGAUGGUGUAGGUAGACUAUAUUACAUGGAUUUAUUGUGACGGUGUAGGUAGACUAUAUUACAUGGAUUUAUUGUGAUGGUGUAGGCUAUAUUACAUGGAUUUAUUGUGAUGGUGUAGACUAUAUUAAAUGGAUUUAUUGUGAC